UAGCCUAGUGGUUAAGGUCAUGGAUCGCCAAUCCGGAGACGGCGGGUUCGAUUCCCGU
rnacentral:tRNA from 1 species